CUUCUGAACAUCUCUCCUCUCCCAACCAACCAAGAUCAUCCUGCUGAUCACGCUGCUAGGGGCCUCCUUCCUACCCUGCUCCUUGAAGAAAGAAUUUCUUAUUUUUUUGAUCCUGGGAGCUUUGCAGAUUGAACAGAAUGACUUUGACAAGUGGAGAAGCCAAGAGGAGGAAUGUGAGAGGGGUCACCUUGUGGGACACAGAGAUGAAGAAUUCUGUACCUGGGCACCACCUGCCAACAUCUCCUGGUGAGAAAGGGACGUCAAUCCCUAUUAAGGCAUAAAACCUAUUUUGGCGUGAGCCAAGCUACU